ensembl:rRNA 5S_rRNA 5S ribosomal RNA
GUCUGAGGCCAUGCCACCCUGAACAAACCCCAUGUCUGAUCUCAGAAGCUAAGCAGGGUUGGGCCUGGUUAGUACUUGGAUGGGAGACCACCUAGUACUAUCUUAUUAUUUAUGCUGUAGGCA